GCGCCCGUAGCUCAGGUGGACAGAGCAGGAGCCUUCUAAGCUCUUGGUCGGGGGUUCGAAUCCUCCCGGGCGCGCCA
rnacentral:tRNA from 1 species